UUAGCUCUCUUGAGCAUAUGGCACCAUCAGAGAUGUCUCCUCCAUGACCAUGAGCAAUGGGCUUUGCUACCUUCGUUGCCGAGGCAGCUGGUACCCAUGUGUAGCAAUGAGAGUGGCAUCAUAGAAGCAAGUUUUGCCUUCCCGCGCUACCAGGUGGCUGAGAUAUUAAUGCCAAGUCGAUCCCAUUAUCAUGGAACACAUUCUCAAUCCGCAAGCUGUCAAGUUAUUGAAGGGAAUGAAGCUAUGGCGGUGAUAUUAAUGAAUAUAUAGUGAUGAGGUUGAGAAUGUAUUAUUCCAUGGUUUUGAGCAUAGGCUUGGCAUUGAAAUCUCUGCCAUCAGGUUCGCGUGUGCUGGCAAAACUUGCUCCAUCAUAUCACUCUCAUUGCCAGGCGGGGCCCCUAGCUGCCUCCUCACCGGAGUUGCCAAAGUCCACCCAUAUCUUUCGCGCCUGGUGGCAAAUUAAAGCUAGUUUCUUUUUUGUAUGUAUAGUUUCUUUUGAUGAUGACACACAUCUCCAUUGUUUUAAGCUUCAACAAUGUCUAGUUAAUAGUUAUGAACUACACCUUUAAUUUCUGGAAUGCUUGUAUCACAAAUAUGUUGAAUAAUGUAUCCCUGGCCUUCUGAGUGUAAUAACAGUUGUUCUGGUUUUUGCUUUAAAGUUCUU